UCCAACUUAGAGAAUAAGAAAAGAAAUACUAUUAAAUUACACAUGACUUAAUAGUAAUUUAUAAACACACAUACAAAGAAAAAAGAAAAAGAAAAAGAGGAGAGAAUCAAGAAGAGCAAGUAAGAAGGCAUAAACAAUUUGAAUAGCUUUAGUUUAAUUUUACUGAAAUCAUCUCUAGGGCCACUAGGUUGGCAGUUAGAAUUUUGUGGACCCAACUUAAAAAAGAAAAAGAAAAAGCAGAAAUGAAAGGGGAAUAGUAAAGUGGAGCUGGAUCACCUUUACCAAGGAAAGAAAAUCCAAACAAGGCUACCUGUAAAACCCAGGCAGCUUUGGCUGUAUCCAUGGAACUAUUUGUUGGAAAAUAGCCCUCUUUGCCGCCUUCUCCACGACCUGUCUUUCUCUUCUCCAUGGACUUUCUGCUGUCUUAGUCUUCUCUCUUUCUCUAUAAAACCCGCUAUUGAAUAUCCAAUCUUCUACUAAUCUUUUUUGUUCCAAUGAAAAGGCAAGGAGCAGCAGAGAAAGUGAAGAAAAAAGAAAUCCCGACAGUGGAAUUUUAACAGUUGAGAGAUAUAAAAAGAGUUGGAUCGGCCCGACUUCAUAAUUGUCUGAAAUUGUAUCUGCCUGGCUCCCUGAAUGCCAUCUAAGAAGCUUGUCAAACAGUGUUGGCAAUUUUCCUAUUUGGCAUGAGGGGAGUCAUGCAGGCCCGUACGCAAUCAGACGAUUAUAGGGGAGUAUCAAGGGUAUUCAUAUUCUCAUUUUCUUUCUUCUAUUCCCUCAACUCAAACUGUAUGCUUCUUUCCUGCUAACCAAAGAUCAGAUUAUUGAGGGGGAGUAUAUAUAAUUGAGGUCUACAUGACAAAGAACAUAUGUAGAAAAGACAAUGCAUCUGAAAAUCAAGUUUUGUUUGUCACUCAGAACUUUUUCUGCAGUCUCUUCUUCUGGAUUUAUACAGAUUUGUGGCCACCAAGAAACCAUAUAAUGCAGGGCGCUUGAUGUGGGCCUAGUUCUGCAUUCAGCCAUUGACAAAGAUUGUUAUCCUUCAGUCAAUUUAAUACAAAUAUUUCUUCCUCUAUUUUAUACAUUAAUGUGUAUUUUACAAAGUGGUCUAUUUCAUAAACUUGUCAUUCUUGGACGUGUAUGGAGACAUCCAUAUCCUUGGAGCUUCUACACAUGGGCUUCUGAAUAUGAACUGAAAAAGAACAAUGCAUUUCCUUUUUUUUUCUUUUU